GAUCCGGUAGCACAUGGUGUGCACCCGUCCACCGUUGGUACUGUGCAAUAAAUAUUGGCGGUAGGCCCCCGUUCGAUCCGGGGCUGGGUCA